AUUAAGCCAUGCAUGUCUCAGUGCAAGCCACAUUAAGGUGAAACCGCGAAUGGCUCAUUAAAUCAGUUAUGGUUCCUUAGAUCGUACCAAAGUUACUUGGAUAACUGUGGUAAUUCUAGAGCUAAUACAUGCAAACAGAAUCCCCACCAGAAAUGGAAGGGAUGCUUUUAUUAGAUCAAAACCAAUCGGCUCCGGCCUGUCCGGUCCGUUUGUCUUGGUGACUCUGAAUAACUUUGGGCUGAUCGCACGGUCUUCGCACCGGCGACGCAUCUUUCAAAUGUCUGCCUUAUCAACUGUCGAUGGUAGGUUCUGCGCCUACCAUGGUCGUAACGGGUAACGGGGAAUCAGGGUUCGAUUCCGGAGAGGGAGCCUGAGAAAUUGCUACCACAUCCAAGGAAGGCAGCAGGCGCGCAAAUUACCCACUCCCGGCACGGGGAGGUAGUGACGAAAAAUAACGAUACGGGACUCAUCCGAGGCCCCGUAAUCGGAAUGAGUACACUUUAAAUCCUUUAACGAGUAUCCAUUGGAGGGCAAGUCUGGUGCCAGCAGCCGCGGUAAUUCCAGCUCCAAUAGCGUAUAUUAAAGUUGUUGCGGUUAAAAAGCUCGUAGUUGGACUUGUGUCCCGCGCUGUCGGUUCACCGCCCGUCGGUGUCUAACUGGCAUGGUUCGCGGGACGUCCUGCCGGUGGUGGCGAGUCGAAAGGUUGCCCGUGUUCACGCACGUUGGUUGCCUGGAGGCGGACCCCGAUUAAAUCCUACCGCGGUGCUCUUCAUUGAGUGUCGAGGUGGGCCGGCACGUUUACUUUGAACAAAUUAGAGUGCUUAAAGCAGGCCGGUCGCGCCUGAAUACUGUGUGCAUGGAAUAAUGGAAUAGGACCUCGGUUCUAUUUUGUUGGUUUUCGGAACCCGAGGUAAUGAUUAAUAGGGACAGUCGGGGGCAUUCGUAUUGCGACGUUAGAGGUGAAAU
rnacentral:rRNA from 1 species